AGGAUGAACGCUGGCGGCGUGCCUAAAACAUGCAAGUCAUACGGUCUACCUUCGGGUAGACAGUGGCAAACGGGUGAGUAACACGUGGGAACACGCCUUCGAGUGGGGAAUAACGCUGAGAAAUCAGUGCUAAUACCGCAUAUGGUCUAACGACUAAAGCAGUAAUGCGCUCGGAGAGUGGCCCGCGUCCGAUUAGCUAGUUGGUGGGGUAAUGGCCUACCAAGGCGGUGAUCGGUAGCUGGUCUGAGAGGAUGGUCAGCCACACUGGGACUGCGAACGGCCCAGACUCCUACGGGAGGCAGCAGUUAGGAAUUUUCGGCAAUGGACGAAAGUCUGACCGAGCGACGCCGCGUGGAGGAUGACGCCUUUCGGGGUGUAAACUCCUUUUCUGCGGAAGAUAAUGACGGUACCGCAGGAAUAAGCACCGGCUAACUACGUGCCAGCAGCCGC
rnacentral:rRNA from 1 species